rnacentral:misc_RNA from 1 species
UUUCCGUAGGUGAACCUGCGGAAGGAUCAUUCAUAAUAAAGUGUUUUAUGGCACUUUUUAAAAAUCCAUAUCCACCUUGUGUGCAAUGUUAGAUCUCGUCAAUCUUGGCGAGAUUUUUAUACAUCAACUCAUUCUUUAACUAAUUUGUCUGAAAAAUAUCAUGAAAACUUAAUUCAAAAUACAACUUUCAACAACGGAUCUCUUGGCUCUC